rnacentral:tRNA from 1 species
GCCUGGGUGGUUCAGUCAGUUGAGUGUCUGACUUUGACUCAGGUCAUGAUCUUACGGUUUGUGGGUUUGAGCCCCACAUCAGGCU